rnacentral:lncRNA from 11 species
GGCUAUUACCACUCAAAAUGUACAUUCUCAUAAUUCCAUUCAAGAUGCCAUUAUGUUACCUCUAUAAUACAGUCCAAGCCAGGCAAGUUUUUCAUUUUAUCAUACCAAAAGACAACAGCAUGAAUAUUUUAUGGAACUUUAGACAAAAAAGGGUGAAGAGAAAAGUGACUGAAAGCAUAGGAAAAGAAGACCACAGCAGUUCAGGAGGUUACCUGCGAGAUCAUCAAGAACAUCUUUCUGCAGAGAGAGAUUAGAGAAAAUCAGAAAUAUUCAAUGCCUGGUGAGUUUCUUGUUUGUUUUGUUAAAAGAAAUAGUUACAUUAUGUCACUUUGUCAUAUUGUCAAUUACUAAAUAAAACUGACUUUUUAAAAGAAAACAUUUCCAAACUCUGCAUAAAAAGCAUUUGUCAUUAUGACCAAUACACAGUACAAAAAAUUUCACCUCACUUUCUGUCCCUGUGAUUAUUGGAUUUUGAAAAAAAGAUGUCUUGUUGUGGAAACAAUGAUUAGCGAUAAAGCUUUGGUGGAGACACCUUUUCCCCAUGAUAACUCAUUCAGCAGUUUUAGGAGUGAAUUUCUCUUUCUAGGAGCAGAUUACUCUUACUUCUUAUUGUCUCUCCCACAUUCUUAAUUAUGAGUCAUUUAUAAGUCAGAUGUUUGCAACUCAGGGAGUGUCUGUAUAUAAAUGUUGUAGAUGGGUAAUCUCUGGAUAUAGAA